rnacentral:rRNA from 1 species
AGAGUUUGAUCCUGGCUCAGAACGAACGUUAGCGGCGCGCCUAACACAUGCAAGUCGCACGAGAAAGGGCUUCGGCCCCAGUAAAGUGGCGCACGGGUGAGUAACACGUGGGUAAUGUUCCCUCGGGCGGGGGAUAACCUUCCGAAAGGAGGGCUAAUACCGCAUAAGACCACCGCUCCGAAAGGAGUGGCGGUAAAAGC